GCCACUGUAGCACAAUGGUAGUGCGUUGCUUUCCUAUGGUCGUUUACCAGGCAGAGGCUGUGGGUUCGAGUCCCAUCAGUGGUU